AUUCAGCUGACGAGUUCCAAAUAUGGCGAAACGCGCGUCCUGUAU
rfam:Schistosoma rodhaini strain Burundi genome assembly, scaffold: SROB_scaffold0002757